GCGUGUAUUAUUACCUGUCAGACCCAUUCCAUGCACAUUCAAACUUGUCAAAGAUGCAGUCGUUUUCAUAAAGUGAACACAAUUUGCUUCUAAGAAUGAUACAGUAUAAAGACCAAAUGAAAAGGAAUUGCAUCUUUGACUGGCUUUCUUUGGAAAUUUGGGUUACAGCCAGGAAUUCAGGAAUUAUUCAAGUAAUGUUGUAAGAUAUAACAUGAGCCCAGAAAAAUGUCUGUAUGUGUGUGUUUGCAAAUCUGCAGUUGAUAUUACCAAAAAAAUAAAGUUCUUUUAAAAUGUG